rnacentral:rRNA from 1 species
UUGAACGCUGGCGGAAUGCUUUACACAUGCAAGUCGAACGGCAGCACGGGGGCAACCUUGGUGGCGAGUGGCGAACGGGUGAGUAAUGUAUCGGAACGUACCCAGUCGUGGGGGAUAACUAUCCGAAAGGAUAGCUAAUACCGCAUACGUCCUGAGGGAGAAAGCGGGGGAUCGCAAGACCUCGCGCGAUUGGAGCGGCCGAUAUCGGAUUAGCUAGUUGGUGAGGUAAAGGCUCACCAAGGCGACGAUCCGUAGCGGGUCUGGGAGGACGACCCGCCACACUGGAACUGAGACACGGUCCAGACUCCUACGGGAGGCAGCAGUGGGGAAUUUUGGACAAUGGGGGCAACCCUGAUCCAGCCAUGCCGCGUGAGUGAAGAAGGCCUUCGGGUUGUAAAGCUCUUUCAGACGGAAAGAAACGGUCACGGCGAAUACCCGUGACUAAUGACGGUACCGUAAGAAGAAGCACCGGCUAACUACGU